rnacentral:lncRNA from 1 species
CAGGCAAAGGGAACCAGCCUGGAUGGCAUGAGUGCUGUUGAACCACAUCAAACCAAUGAUCUGAUCCUUAACAGCAAACAGCCCCUGGUCUUUUUAAAGGCAGAAAAGAAAAAAAAAAAAAAAAAGUCCUGUAACACGAAGGCAGAAAUGAAGGUGCAUGACUCAAAAUCGCACUAUCUGGAGAUUCAAUGAGCAGAUUCUUUUGUCCACAAAUUCCUCCCCCUUUCAACGAUCAAAAAACGAUGGCUAUGUCAAACAUGAGAGAUGGGACUCUUCGUCUUAAAUGUGAAAAUGGAGAUUGGAGACCCCAGCUCACCAAACACAUUGAGCCCUGGUGGUUUUCAGGUUUCAUGAUUUGGUCAAGCCAGGGAAACAACCGGCUCUGGAUUUUCAAGGAACCAGGAUUUAGAGGCCAGAUGUUCCUAUAGAGAACAGGACUCCUCAGCCUUGCCUUGUCCCAACCCUUGGCCGUGAAGUCUGAAUUCACUGCAUCUCUUUGAACAACAUACUUGGAUUUGGGCCACGCCCUCAAGAGCCAGACUUAAGGUAGGUUCAGUCUUUUGCACAGGCCUCACUUGUCCCAUGGUCUGCUUCCUGAUGGUGGCAAUGCCUUUUCCUUGUUCUCAUGAGCACAGCUGAAACAGGAUGCAGUUUAUAUAUGGGAUUUUCAAUAAAAGCAUACAUGAAAAUCCGUUUAAACUUCAAAAAACAGGGGCAUCUUGGGUGGCUCCGUCAGCUAAGCGUCUGACUCUGGAUCGCAGCUCAGGUCAUGAUCUCGG